rnacentral:snRNA from 1 species
AUGUUUACCUGGCAGGGGCGAUACCAUGGUCCCAAAGGUGGUUUUCCCAGGCAAGGCUUAUCGAUUACAUUCAGAAUGUGCUGACCCCUGCGAUUUCCCCAAAUGUGGGAAACUCAACUGCAUAAUUUGUGGUAGUGGGGGACUGUGUUCUGGCUCUCCCCUG